rnacentral:rRNA from 1 species
UUGACCUCAGAUCAGGUAGGAAUACGCGCUGAACUUAAGCAUAUCAAUAAGCGGAGGAA